AUUGUUAUUCCUCCCUGGAACUUUGGACUUUAUUGAUACAAAUUAGUUUUCACGAUUUAGUUAACAUAUUGUUAAAAGAAAUUGUUUAAAAAUUAUACUUGUCAAAUAUGUUCACCACUUGUUUUAGAACGUUUCGAACUGGGAACAAAUAUGGAUUAUUGGCACGUUAUGAAUCCACGUUAGUUAUUGCAGAACAUAAUAAUGAAUCUCUAGCCCCUAUCACUUGUAAUACAUUAAGUGCAGCAAAAAAAAUUGGUGGUGAUAUAACAGUCUUAGUUGCUGGUACCAAAUGUGAUGCAGUUGCACAAAGUGUCAGUAAAGCUAAUGGUGUAUCCAAAGUUUUGGUGGCAGAGAGCGACGCUUUUAAAGGAUUUCUUCCAGAAGCACUAACGCCUCUUAUCCUUGCUACUCAAAAUGAGCAUAAAUUUACCCAUAUUUUAACUGGUGCUACUGCAUUUGGUAAAGCACUAUUGCCAAGAGUUGCAGCUAAAUUAGAUGUGUCUCCAAUAAGUGAUAUUAUUGGUAUUAAAGCAGCAGAUACAUUCAUCCGUACAAUUUAUGCAGGAAAUGCAAUUCAAACUUUAAAGUGCAAAGACAAUAUAAAGAUAGUUUCAGUGAGAGGCACUGCAUUUGAAGCAAUACCUUUGGAUGGAGGCAGUGCCAAGUGUGAACCUGCACUAGCUGGUGACUACAAAUCACAAUUGGCAGAAUUCAUUAAACAGGAGUUAUCUAAAUCUGAUAGACCAGAAUUGACAUCUGCAAAAAUCGUUAUAUCUGGAGGAAGAGGAAUGAAGUCUGGCGAUAACUUCAAAUUAUUAUAUAGUUUGGCAGAUAAACUUAAUGCUGCAGUUGGCGCUUCCCGUGCUGCUGUUGAUGCUGGUUAUGUGCCUAAUGAUUUGCAAGUGGGGCAGACAGGAAAAAUUGUUGCUCCAAAUCUAUAUAUUGCUGUUGGUAUCUCUGGAGCAAUUCAGCAUCUAGCUGGUAUGAAAGAUUCAAAAACGAUUGUGGCAAUUAACAAAGAUCCAGAAGCACCAAUCUUCCAAGUAGCUGAUUAUGGCUUAGUUGCUGAUUUAUUCAAGGCUGUUCCUGAACUUACAGAAAAAUUCUAGUGCUGCACCAUACACCAAGUGCUAAAGGUAGCCAUGCUAGCAUAUACAAGAUCCUAUAAAAUUAGGAGUCUGGUGGCACGCUAGCAUAGACAAGUUCCAUGCUACAAGAACCUAUUUAAUUGUACGGUUCUGUGGGAAAAUUCAUAUCUAUUUUUCUAUCCGGAAUAAACAAACAAGAAAAGAGAAUAUUUUCUUUCAAACGAUAAUGGAUCACUUAAUUCGUUGAGCCGUAAAUAAAUAAUAUGCAAAAUAAGAGUAUGCAAAAUUUUAUAUCCAAAUGUUUAUUAGUUUUUCCAAAAAGCUAUUUAACAACUAAAAAGUAGUCUUCGUUGCACACUCGUCAUCUCCACGACGGAGAGAAGGUUCCCUUGACGCACUGAAAGGCUCGACAGCCUGUUGACCCUCGAGUAGUGUAACAUGAUCCAAUGUCAGAUAUCCACGAGGCAAUGUAUCUAGGUAUUAAUUUAAAAGUGAAACUUCUUUCAUUUUUGACUUUUUUAAAAUUAAACUUUUACAAACGUGUUUGUGAGAUGUUUCUGAUUAAAACGAGUAUAGAAAUAUGCGCCAAAAUACAUCGUGUUUGGUGUCAUUUUAAUCCGAAAAAUGUAAGAAACAUGCUGGUAAAAGUUUCAUUGGUCACAAAUAAAAAAUAAGAAAGUUUGAUUUUUAA